CGCGCCGCCGCCGAGGAGGGCAGAGUACCGAGAGCAGUCGGGGUGCCGGCGCGGCCCGCAGGGCGCCUCGGAGAGUGGCAAGGUAGUUCCAAAGAACUGCUGGUUCACAUUUUAGCCCUUGCCAAGUUGUGAAAAUAGUGAAGGAUGAUUAAACUACUUAACAUUCGAAUUGCUCUCGGGUUAAUCAUCUUUAGAAGACUGGAUUUCUGGAUAUCUACUCUCCAUCUCUGUUGACUUUUAAAACAUAAUUUAAAUCCGUAACACUGGCAGUCAUCUAUGAACUCUGUGAACCUUUAAUUACACUGAUUCAUAAACGUUGGAAGCUUCCUCAGGGGAAAAAACAAUGA